GAGGUGUGCUGGGAAAAUUUUUUUAAAUCUUUAAAUUCUUCUGUUUAUAAUGCAUCCAAUAGGAAACUGGGAUUAUUGUGAUGAGGAGCACAAAACUUAUGGCCUCCCUAUGAACAAAUUCCCUACAUGU
ensembl:snoRNA